AUCCAGCUGACGAGUCCCAAAUAGGAUGAAACAUGUGUUUUUCAU
rnacentral:hammerhead_ribozyme from 1 species